AAGGGUGUAUUUAUUAGAUAAAAAACCCAAUGCCCUUUGGGCUCUUUGGUGAUUCAUGAUAACUUAACGGAUCGCAUGGCCUUGCGCCGGCGACGGUUCAUUCAAAUUUCUGCCCUAUCAACUUUCGAUGGUAAGGUAUUGGCUUACCAUGGUUUCAACGGGUAACGGGGAAUUAGGGUUCGAUUCCGGAGAGGGAGCCUGAGAAACGGCUACCACAUCCAAGGAAGGCAGCAGGCGCGCAAAUUACCCAAUCCCGACACGGGGAGGUAGUGACAAUAAAUACUGAUACAGGGCUCUUUUGGGUCUUGUAAUCGGAAUGAGUACAAUUUAAACCUCUUAACGAGGAACAAUUGGAGGGCAAGUCUGGUGCCAGCAGCCGCGGUAAUUCCAGCUCCAAUAGCGUAUAUUAAAGUUGUUGCAGUUAAAAAGCUCGUAGUUGAAUCUUGGGCCUGGCUGGCCGGUCCGCCUCACCGCGUGUACUGGUCUGGCCGGGCCUUUCCUUCUGGAGAACCUCAUGCCCUUCAGUGGGUGUGUUGGGGAACCAGGACUUUUACUUUGAAAAAAUUAGAGUGUUCAAAGCAGGCCUUUGCUCGAAUACGUUAGCAUGGAAUAAUAGAAUAGGACGUGCGGUCCUAUUUUGUUGGUUUCUAGGACCGCCGUAAUGAUUAAUAGGGAUAGUCGGGGGCAUCAGUAUUCAAUUGUCAGAGGUGAAAUUCUUGGAUUUAUUGAAGACUAACUACUGCGAAAGCAUUUGCCAAGGAUGUUUUCAUUAAUCAGUGAACGAAAGUUAGGGGAUCGAAGACGAUCAGAUACCGUCGUAGUCUUAACCGUAAACUAUGCCGACUAGGGAUCGGGCGAUGUUUUUAUCUUGACU
rnacentral:rRNA from 1 species